rnacentral:rRNA from 1 species
GACGAACGCUGGCGGCGUGCUUAACACAUGCAAGUCGAACGGCGAACCAGGGCUUGCCCUGGGGAUCAGUGGCGAACGGUGAGUAACACGUGGGCAACCUGCCCCCUGACUCUGGGAUAACUCCUCGAAAGAGGUGCUAAUACCGGAUACGACCACUUCGGGCAUCCGAUGGUGGUGGAAAGAAUUUUGGUCAGGGAUGGGCCCGCGGCCUAUCAGCUUGUUGGUGGGGUAACGGCCCACCAAGGCGACGACGGGUAGCCGGCCUGAGAGGGCGACCGGCCACACUGGGACUGAGACACGGCCCAGACUCCUACGGGAGGCAGCAGUGGGAAAUAUUGCGCAAUGGGCGAAAGCCUGACGCAGCGACGCCGCGUGAGGGACGACGGCCUUCGGGUUGUAAACCGUCUUUCAGCAGGACGAAGCGAAAGUGACGGUACCUGCAGAAGAAGCACCGGCUAACUACGUGCCAGCAGCCGCGGUAAU